GACGAACGCUGGCGGCGUGCCUAAUACAUGCAAGUAGAACGCUGAAGAGAGGAGCUUGCUCUUCUUGGAUGAGUUGCGAACGGGUGAGUAACGCGUAGGUAACCUGCCUUGUAGCGGGGGAUAACUAUUGGAAACGAUAGCUAAUACCGCAUAACAAUAGGUGACACAUGUCAUUUAUUUGAAAGGGGCAAUUGCUCCACUACAAGAUGGACCUGCGUUGUAUUAGCUAGUAGGUGAGGUAACGGCUCACCUAGGCGACGAUACAUAGCCGACCUGAGAGGGUGAUCGGCCACACUGGGACUGGGACACGGCCCAGACUCCUACGGGGGGCAGCAGGAGGGAAUCUUCGGCAAUGGGGGCAACCCUGACCGAGCAACGCCGCGUGAGUGAAGAAGGUUUUCGGAUCGUAAAGAUCUGUUGUAAGUCAAGAACGAGUGUGGGAGUGGAAAGUUCACACUGUGACGGUAGCUUACCAGAAAGGGACGGCUAACUACGUG
rnacentral:rRNA from 1 species